GGCCGGAGGGCUGGGUAGCUGAAGACUCACCACUGAGCAGACAGAAAGUGCAGGCACACUCACUCAGCCAAGGGGGUGCACACAAGAGAUCUAAAGUGCUCAGCCAUAUAAAUGAAGAACUCACUCUUCUGCACUGAAAUUGUAGACUCCUUGCUAUUUGAUGGUGGGGUAUUUUUUUCCUGUACUGCCUUCUGAACACACAGACCUAUGAAAACUGUCUAAUGCAUCUGCACGGUAACCACUCUUCAUCAAAAGUGUCAAAAAGAUUUUAAGCUGGCAACGUUAGUGUUCAUAUGUGCAUCAACUGAGUAAUGGCUUUCUAAAGGAUACAUUGAUUAAAUACUCCAUUCCAGACCUCCUAACUACUUUUGAUCUACUGAAAUAAAAAUGAAGAUGAUAAAUAUACAUUCAAAACUCUUGAAUUCAUACCUUAUGAACAAUAAGGAAAUUUGAGAGAGACAUCCGGAUACAUUUUCAAUAUGAUCUCCAGUCAAGUUUAUGAUUUAGCUAAAGGAUCCAUUUCCAUUUGUUAUGUCAUAUCCCUUGGUAAAUGAUUUUUGAACAAUCCCUUCCACACUGUUGAACAGUUGGAUCUCAGUACCCAUUCAUUAAAAAUACAAUUACUGUGUAAAUAUGGUUCUUUGAGAUGUGCCCAGAUAGAUCCAUACU